rnacentral:rRNA from 2 species
UAGGGAAUCUUCCGCAAUGGGCGAAAGCCUGACGGAGCAACGCCGCGUGAGUGAUGAAGGUCUUCGGAUCGUAAAACUCUGUUAUUAGGGAAGAACAAAUGUGUAAGUAACUAUGCACGUCUUGACGGUACCUAAUCAGAAAGCCACGGCUAACUACGUGCCAGCAGCCGCGGUAAUACGUAGGUGGCAAGCGUUAUCCGGAAUUAUUGGGCGUAAAGCGCGCGUAGGCGGUUUUUUAAGUCUGAUGUGAAAGCCCACGGCUCAACCGUGGAGGGUCAUUGGAAACUGGAAAACUUGAGUGCAGAAGAGGAAAGUGGAAUUCCAGGUGUAGCGGUGAAAUGCGCAGAGAUAUGGAGGAACACCAGUGGCGAAGGCGACUUUCUGGUCUGUAACUGACGCUGAUGUGCGAAAGCGUGGGGAUCAAACAGG